rnacentral:rRNA from 1 species
AGUGAACGCUGGCGGUAGGCCUAAUACAUGCAAGUCGAACGGCAACACAGUAAGAUCUUUCUCUUACGGGUGGCGAGUGGCGGACGGGUGAGUAAUACAUCGAAAUCUACUUUUUCUUGGGGGAUAUCGGAGGAAAGCUUACACUAAUACCGCAUACGACCUACUGGUUAAAGCACUGGAUCUACGGACCUUGCGCGAUAGAAUGAGCCGAUUCCGGAUUAGCUAGUUGGCGGGGUAAAGGCCCACCAAGGCAACGAUCCGUAGCUGGCCUGAGAGGAUGAUCAGCUACACUGGAACUGAGACACGGUCCAGACUCCUACGGGAGGAAGCAGUGGGGAAUAUUGGACGAUGGGCGCAAGCCUGAUCCAGCCAUGCCGCGUGGGUGAUGAAGGCCUUCGGGUUGUAAAGCACUUUUAUUAGGAAAGAACAGAAGCAGAUUAAUCUCCCGCUGUUUUGACGGUACCCAAAGAAUAAGCACCGGCUAACUACGUG